GGCAAGAUGGCCGAGCGGUCUAAGGCGUGUGACUCAAGCGAAAGCUUGCCUGCGAUAUUGCGGGUUUUCUCAUCAGGGAAAUCCUGGCGUGGGUUCAAAUCCCACUCUUGUCA
rnacentral:tRNA from 1 species